rnacentral:lncRNA from 1 species
ACUUUAGGGCAGCCUAGUCGGGAAUAGGCCCAGAGCCUCACCAGCCCCCUAGAAAACAGAGCAUUGUUUCCAUCCAAACCUUGCCCUGAAAGGAAGCCUGUCAGCUGGCAAUGACCUCGUGAGACAACUUUGGGGAGAGCAAAGGGCCGAGAAGAGAAAGGCCUCAUUCUCACUGCAAACAGGAAAAGGGAAGAGAAAAAGAAAGCUCUGUCUCCACACAAGGUUUGCUGGGCUGGCUAUGAACUGUUCCAGUACGUUCCAUCAAAUAGACGCCUUCAUAGAAUCAAGCCAAGCGCGAACAUGGGCUCUGGGACUCCCACUCCCGGGACAUACGCGGGCCAGCUCACACAUGCUCUUGCUCUCUCGCACCCUGGGAGAGCACUUAUAUGGGCUUCGUGAGGCUAAGUAAUAAACACUUUGUCUUCACCCUGCUAUUUAUGGGUUGCUUGGGGCAUCCUGUUCUCUCCACUGCCCUUACCUGAACAGACGGCUCCCGCAGACCCCACACUUCAUAGGGACAACAGUAAAUGUGAAAGGCUCUGUGUGCCCCACACGCUCCUGUUUUCCUGGCCACCGUACUAAUUGCAGAGAAAGGUCAAUCUGCAUCCAUUUACCUAUUCUCUGUGCUCCCUUCCUUGAGGUUAAAUCUGUUCUCCUUUUUCCCUGGGUUCUCAUUUUCUUCCUUCCUUUCAGACAUCUCUCUAAGACAUCUUUCAAAGAUAUCCUUUUCUAUUUUACCACCGCUAGGGACUUUCAUUCUUCUGUGAUGGAUCAACCAUCUAGGAAAACAAGAACAACUCGGAAAACUGCAAACCACCAGCUGUCGCCUCCAGCAGCGUUUCUGGGGCUCUCUGGACGACCGCGCACAUGCAGAGUUAAGGGGCUGAUCCGGUCCUACCUGUUGCUGACUUCAGGUUCACUUAGAAGCCUUGCGCUUCCCCUGCACACAUUGUGUCUGAGAUGCAAAGGGGCGAGAUGCACAUUUGAAAGCAAGAAGAGCGUCCAGGCCAACAGAUGUCUGAAAGCCGCGGGGGAAGAUGUCAGGAGGGUCCACUGGAUGCAGGACCAAGGUUAAUCACUUUGAUCAGAUUUGGGGCCCUUUGACUCAGCUACUUUGGGGGCUUCAGGGCUCUCAGAGCUGAUGGGUCCUGGGUGAAGAGAAGGAGUCACGGCUGCAUCCUGUCCACCCGCGGGCCGUCACGCAAGCCUGGAGCCCUGCCAACUCUCAGUGCCGUCUUCAUUGUGGGCUAGCCCACCGCAUCCUGAAAGCAGACAAGACAGAGGAGGAUGCGUUAACUCGGCCUCUCCCCGCAGAAGGCAGUUCGCCAUCGCAACACUGAUUAAAUACAGGACAUUAUCUCACCAUAAUGCCCUCCUGGCGGCGUUCCCAGGAAAAUUCUAACUAAUCAUAAAAAUAGAAAGAAAAACUCAACCUAAA